GCCGCAGCGAAAGCGAGUCUGAAUAGGGCGAAUUAGUACGUGGUCGUAGACCCGAAACCAGGUGAUCUACCCAUGUCCAGGGUGAAGGUGAGGUAACACUUACUGGAGGCCCGAACCCACGCACGUUGAAAAGUGCGGGGAUGAGGUGUGGGUAGCGGAGAAAUUCCAAUCGAACUUGGAGAUAGCUGGUUCUCUCCGAAAUAGCUUUAGGGCUAGCCUCGUGAUGAGAAUACUGGAGGUAGAGCACUGUUUGGACUAGGGGGCCAUCCCGGUUUACCGAAUUCAGACAAACUCCGAAUGCCAGAUAUUUAUACACGGGAGUCAGACUGCGAGUGAUAAGAUCCGUAGUCAAAAGGGAAACAGCACAGACCACCAGCUAAGGUCCCAAAGUAAUCGUUAAGUGGAAAAGGAUGUGGCGUUGCACAGACAACCAGGAUGUUGGCUUAGAAGCAGCCAUCAUUUAAAGAGUGCGUAAUAGCUCACUGGUCGAGUGACGCUGCGCCGAAAAUGUAUC
rnacentral:rRNA from 1 species